GUGCUCAUGUUAACAACACAUAUACUAAAAUUUGAAUGAUACAGAGAAGAUUAGUGUGGCCCCUGUGCAAGGAUGACAUGCAAAUUCAUGGUGUUCCAUAUUUUU